UUUAGCGGGAAGUUACUUUCGCUUUGCCUGUAUCACAACAACGAGCAAAGCUUGAUAGCAGAGAUUGGCAGUUUGCUGCCUGUAAAGCUUUAGUUUGUGGCUAUAUGGUUUAGUUUAUUGUCGAGAUAUCUAAAUAGGUGUUUAGCUAGCUGUUUAUAUUCAGUCUGUGCUUUGACAUAUUCAUUUUUUAUCAUGAGCUGUUUGCUGCUGAGAGAAAGCCCUAUGAUCGUUGCACUUAAUAAGGAGAAGACAGUAUAUGACGGGUUCAUCACAGUACUGGAAAAAGACUUACGGAUAAGAAUAUAUCUACCGCCUGAUCAUCAAAUGAAACAGGCAAAAUUACAUUGUUGCUGGCAAAUGAAACGGCUACUUCAUGGUUAUCAACAUAUUGUAAAGCAGAGGUUACAGCAUUCAGCUAAUUUGACGGCUUUCAUCCUGGAACUCAGAACAGUAUUGGAAGUGGCGAUGAAGAGCCAACCAGGAUGUCAGUCCUUCUCACCACCUCAGUAUUAUUCCCAGCUGAUAACAGAGAUGGAGACAAUAGGAUGGGAUAAGCUUCUCUUCAUCGAUGCAGAGUUCCGCACACUCAAGCUGAAGGCAGAGGACUCUGCAGGUCGUCAACACGCUGUUACAGUCAAGCUCAAAUCCAAGUAUCCAACUGAGGCCCCGGAGUUUUCUGCAGAUCUUCCUGUUCCGUUGGUCAUCACGUGGACCUCUCAGAGCACAUUAGCCAAUGUCCACAGUCAGUUCCUGUUAAAUGUGGAGGCUCUGUCCGAGUUCUGGUCAGUGCUGGAUGAGAUCGACGAGCAGACGUGGGUAUUGGAACCAGAAAAACCCACAAGAGCAGACUCCAUGAGAAGGAUCGCUAUCGGAAACAAUGUCUCAAUAAAGGUACAGAUUGACCCCAGACACCCCAAAAUGCUGCCGGAGUGCUGUUUGCUCGGGGCUGAGCACGUUGUCACUCCUUUGAGGAACAAAUUGAAUGCUAAUAUGCAUUUAUGGAACCCUGACUGCAGUGUCCUACAGAAUAUGAAGGAUGUGCUAGAGAUAGAAUUUCCAUCGCCUGCCACCCACGAAAAAUCUAGUUUCAGUGUUGAAUGUGGCAUCUGCUACUCUUAUCGACUUGAGUCAGCUAUUCCAGAUCAGGUCUGCAAUGACCCGCGCUGUGGCCAGCCUUUCCAUCAAGUGUGCCUUUAUGAGUGGCUGAGAGGUCUGCCCACCAGUCGCCAAAGCUUCAAUAUUGUGUUUGGAGAAUGUCCUUACUGCAGCAAGCCCAUCACUGUGAAAAUGGUCACAGGAAAUGUUUAAAAAAGUUUCUGCGUUCAGAGUAUUGAUCAUGUGGCAUUACGUCUCCAGCGAGGCCAUCUUCAUCUCUGUAAUGGUACCGAGUCCUUUCAUCUUCUUGUCUACGAACAUCACUUCUCCAGUGGUCUCCAUCAUUAGUGUUUUCCCAGUGGUUUUGAUUCCAUCUUUGUUUCCUGCUGUAGUUCCC